CUGCCCUCUUCCUCUGUCCACCACCUCAUCCCCACGCGGCCACGCCAUCUCCUUCCUCGAUCCUCACACACAAAGAGAAAUGUAGCAGGCGGCUCCAUCACCUGUCGCGUGCGGCGGAGGCCAGCCCAGAUCCGCCUCCUCCAGCCCAUCCUCUUCGUCACGCACAACGGGAAAGGUUGGGUUUGAGCUCCGCCACCCCGUCACAUGCCGUUGUUCGUCGGUAGCAGACCGAGCUCCGCCUCCACACCCACCGUCCUUCACUUCCUCUCCGAAAAUGGCCUCAUCCCUGAUACAGAGAGCAUGAUCAGGGGAGUGGUUUCCGAUAUUGAUGCGAGAAAAAAUGCCUUUGGGUCGAACACAUAUCCCCGAAAGAAAUGAAGAAGCUUCUUGGUAAUGGAUAUGGUUCUCUUAUAUUUGGUAGGAGGCAGAAAAAAUUCAGCAUGGAAAAUCACCACAUUCUACGUGGUGUAUUUAUGAUAGCUCUAAAUGAGUACUUCUGGACACCUGAUUGCUUCUCACUAGGAUGCCCUAUGCGGGAUUAUGGUGACUUCUUCAAAUCUGUGCAAGAUUUCUCCUCUUUAGCAUCACUGGAUUUUUUUAAAAUGUUAGAUCUGAAUUUAGAGUGUACUUCUGCACAGAAGAGUUUGUCCUGAUUACUAUUUUUAUUUUAUUUCUGCAGGCACUGAGGAAUGAUCGAUAUCGUUAAUCAUUUUGGAGGUUUGUUGUAGGGUGCUCUACCAGGUAUUUUGUUAAGAUAUGCUCUUUCUCUGCCUGCCAGUUUAGCCAUCAGUUUUGGAUUUUCCUUACGACCUGGUUAUAUUAUCAUUAAAUAUACUUUCUUUCGGAGUCAUGUUUUGUAGUAUUUUUUUCUAGUAUUUGUAAAUUCCUGAGCUAAACAAAGGAAACACACAUUUAGGUGUGUGUUUGAGAAAAAAAUAGUUCAUCAGCUUAAGCCUUCAGUGUUAUUGAAAGUUGAAACUAUACACUUGCUAUUUCCAUAGCGGUCAUCAGGGGGUAGCUUAUUUUAUCAACAUACGCCAACCUGCAAAUUUAUUUUGUAUGCAAAUCUAUUUGACCCAAAUGCUUAAUGGUAUUGACUGUACUCUGAAUAUUGUGAGAGAUGUCAUUUUGAGAUUUAACUAGCCUACUUUCUUGUAGUCUAUGAUGAUCGAAUGACUGCAGCAUAUAGAAAGGGGCUGGUGCAUUGCUUCGUUCAGCGACGACGUCGACUGGGACAAGGUAAUGUACUCUGUUUCAUGAAGUACUGGUAAUUUAUCCAGACUUUAAGGCUUUUCUUAAUCCUCAUGUAAAUCUGAUGGGAGAUUGACCUUUUUCAUUUUUAGUACAUAGAAUACAUGACCUCACUUAAAUCCUUCCGGUUAUUCGGACUUUAAGGCUUUUCUUAAUCCUCGUGUAAAUCCGGUGGAGGAUUGAUCUUUUUCAUUUUUAGUACAUAGAAUAUAUGAUCUCACUUAAAUCCUUCCGGAUGUGAGAAAUAGCUAGACUCUGAAAGCUUGAUUCAUAAGUAACUGAAGAGGUGGUAAUUUAGUUUUUGUUGGUGUUGCAUAUUUGCUUAUUUCCAUAAAAAAAGAGGUUUAGUACACUUUUUUCUCAAGCGGAUGCGCUCCUAUGUGUCCAUGUUGUUACUUGCUACUGGCUAUAUGCCUAUUUUUACACGUUCUUGUGCUACUUUGCAAAGAAAAAUCUGAGAUUUUGGGUUAUUGUGGAUCGAUUAACAUGUUCAGGGUUCCGACACCAACUCCUAAGGCAAGAGCACCAGGAAAACUGAGUCCCCUGUGCAUUUCACUACCUUCGUCCGAGCUGCCCCAACGGAAGGCAGGCCGGGUCGUGCUCAACUGGUGAUGGUGAGAUGGCCGAACGGCACGCGCCGCCUUUGGAACGUGCAAAGCGCAGCUGGUUCGUCGGCUAGCGCGCGCGGCUGCAGCAGAGAAAGCAGUUGGACCGCAGAGACCAGGCGCUGUUUGAUUCGAUCGCCGUCUUUCUGGGUUGCAGUUCCUUCCGUUCCGGUGAACAGAUGGGAGGUGCGCCAUACUGUCGUGGAGGGGAGACGCCCUUUUUGUGGCAUUGCCAGCCAUCCAUGGAUGGACCCGUGCACGUAGAAUACACGGUCAGGCAAGCGUGUUGCCUUCGCUACAUUCGCAGCUGCCUUGGUCGAGGCGAUCCACAUUUACGUGCCUGCCCAGUGCACCACCGAAUGACUGUGAAGCUCAUUAACUCUGUUUCUUUUUUGGGGUAAUAAAGGUCAUUAACUUGUGCACGGGCGAAACCUAGUGCGCGAUACUACAACAGCUAACUUUUUUACCCCCUCAAAAAAAAAAAAAAAAACAGCUAACUAUCUAUGCGGAGUGUGUAAGUGCGUUGAUGCGGCUUGCUACGACAAUAUUGGGAAGGUCGACUUUGUACAUUGUCGAACUUCAGCUUGGUGUGGGCAAGUUGCCAAAUGGUAUCCCAACCAUCGCAUGAAGAAUAGGGUCCUAUUCAAGGGUAGGAUGCGGGGUCACAUAUUCCAGAUACAAAAAAAAUGUCGUGACUAACUCGUGUGUUUUUCUUUUAAAAAUAUGUCGAUGUUCACAUCACAUAUAUGACAACUCGCGAGUUUCUACACCAAAAACACGUUUACGAUUUAUAUAAAAAUAUAAGUUUUGAAGUAGCCAUGACAAACAAAUGUAUAACUCCUACUGGUCAGGGGUAUCAAUGACAGCGGGGAUCCAUGGCAUGACCUAGUCAUUGCGGACGAGGAGGCUGGCUCAUGGGUUCAACAGCGAGGGCGGAAGAGAAGUUGUUGAAGAUGGUGUGACAAGGCAAGAUAUGCAGGGACUGGUGAGGAGCGGGAUGCAUAAAGACAUUGGGGGUGCAAGGGAGAAGUCGGUCAUACCCGAAGGGAGGGGGAUAUCAAAGGUUGUCAUUGCCAUGAAAUGUUCCCCAAGAUGACCCACGACGGCGACGCUGCGGACACAAUCUCGGUUUUGGCUGGUUUUCUCAGUGUGUGCUUUUGUGUGUGUUUGUGUGGUGGUGGCAGUGAACUCAAGAAUAGUGGUGGCACCCCCUAUUGGAUGAUGGUAU